UAUCCCUUGCAGAAAUAUAUACUGGCAUUUAAAAAGUCCCAGUAUUUCCCAGUUAUUAUCCUAGAAAAUUCCAGAAUGUUAAAACCAGUCUUGGCUAUUCUAGUAUGGCCUAGGAAAUACCAGUUACUGAGAACUAGGCAUUUCUAAUAAUUUUUAAACAACUCAUCAAUUUCUAAGUUAUACUAGGAAUUGUAAUUUAUUUUCUGAGAUUUCUAAGACUUAAGAUUUUGCAAAAUUCCUAGUCUUUAGGAAUAACUUAGAAUUUAUCUUGUAGAACAAAAUCCUUAACAUCUGUGCUAAAUUCCUUGAAUCUUACAAAAAUUCCUAAAGACUAGGAAUUCUCUUUGUUGAAAGUAAACAUGCAAGUAAAUAAAGAAGGAAGACAAUAAAAUUGAAAAUAAAAAUGUUUUCUUUCUUUUUUUUAAAUAAAACAACAUACUGACCUAGAUCUAUUUAAUAAUAUUUUUCUAGGAUUACUAUUAUUAUUAUCAUUUAAUUGAAAUUUAAUAAUCAAUUGACCUUAAUUUAUGACAAUUUUAUCAUAGGCCAUUUAAUUAAUAGAUAGUAGGAAUAUAUAAUCCAAAAAGAAAUAACAAAUGUACAGGCAAUCCAAGUAAAUCAAAGACGUAUUAUAAACCUUAAAAAAAACAAUCAAUAAUUGACAUCUGAAGUAUGUAAUUUUUAUCAGUUGUGUAGAGCUAUUUUUAGCGCUGUCAAAUUGCAUCCACUGAUGUCAUGCUUCAGUGCACAGGCUGUGUGUAUAAACCACUUUAUACACGGCUUACACUGCCAGGAGUGUGAUUUGAACAUAUGUAGAUCUAAUUAGGGGUGGAUUUAAGGUGAUUAUUAUUGCAUAGUUGAAAAUCCCAUGUGGCAAAUUGACUCUUGUGCAGAUUUUUUCACGUGUCAAAUUUGUGCAUUUCCAAGUUUUUACGAGUCAAAACCCGAAUCCCCGCAUCAAAUUAAAGUAGGCCUAUAAUUUAUGUGGCAGGUCAUAUUUAUGCUGACGGAAAUUAACGAUGAUAACUUAGUCUUUACUUAACCAGCGAACCUUUACGUUUAUACUCGAGCAAUAUCCGUAAAUUUACGCUAACCAAGACGAGCAUAAUUUCAUGACGUAUUGGAUACGUAUACUGAUGACGUAGCAACACAAUUGUUUUGGAAACUACUGUAGCUUUGUAUGAAAUUCAAGCGCUUGUUGGGCUUAAAAUAAUAGAUUUGUGAAAUAAAAUUCAACGAUAUAAUUGAAAUUAUUCAGUCAUUGUAUUGACGGCAAAAACAACGGAACUACACGAAAUUAUGCGAAUCAAGCACAUGUUACUGACGUAGUACACAGGAUUAUUGCGUAGAACACAGGUUUAUUGUGCGCGCAAUAUUCAAAGACGGCAGACACUUCGUCUCAUAUCAACAGUGAACUGAUAUCGUCUCCCCAAUAAAGACAUUCAACGAGGAAGGUGAAAUUGCUCAAGCAAAUUAUCAGAAGAAGACCUUUAAAGCUGCAAUCGGUGAAAUUCACUAUAAGAAUUGGUACCACAAGGCCACAAAGUGAGGAGUUCAACUAACUUGUGGAUGAUGUUCCAAGCUGAGGAGAGUGAGAGCUUAAAUCUAUAAAAUGGGUCAAAAACUUUUGAUAUAGAAACUGUCAUAAAUUCUUCAGUUAAUUGAAAGAGGGCAAGUUGUACAAAAUGCCAUGGAGCUAAAUAUACAUGGAGAAGAAACUGUGAUGUCACACAGUUAAAUUCAGUAUUGGCAAAAUUGUGUUCUUAUAAGUUAUCAUAUGUUGCGGGAUUUUCAGAGAUUUGAUGCAUCCUGGGUAAAAAUAGCCAAAACACCGUCAUAUUGAAUUCCCGGAGGAAGAUGAAACAUUUUUUUUGCUUAAAUAAGAAGCAAUAGUUAUUUAUUGUAAAAGGUACUAUACACACUUUUCUAUACAAAUAUUUCUCUGAUGAAAAUCUAUGUUGGGGUAUGUAAACAAUAAUUCAUGGAUAUCGUCCAAGUUUAACGAGAGUGCGAAAAUUGGAGACUAACGAGAAAACCCAAUUAUCACCGAAGCCUGCAAAGGAUUGUGGGUCUGAAUCUGACUAUUAUCUAUUUUUAGAGCUUUCUAUCUGUUGUAUAUAUAUAUAUAUCUGUGAAAAUGCAAAGAAGUCGUUGGAUUACCAAAGAUCAACAUUUCAUUUGAUUACCAGUGAUCAUCAAUUCAGUGGAUUUCUGAGAUUCUCAGUAUGAAAAAUUUGAUGACAAGAAAAUUAUUAAACCGGCAAAAAUUGGAUCUUACAGCAAGGAUUUACUCAUUUCAGAAGACAGCAAUAGAAAAUGUAGGAGUUGCAUGUAAUUCUGGAGGUUUCUUGCGUCAUGUUUUGUACUGUUUAAGUGACGUUUCUUAGACUGUUUAAGUGAUGUCCCGCAUUCAAUCAGUUAAGAAAAUGAUGAAAGCAAAUUAAAAUCUAGGAGAGACCUAGUCAAGUAUUAUAAUGUUUUAACUUUUAGUGCUAAAUUCAAAGAGGUGUCUCAUGUUACACUGUUUUAAAAAAAGGAAUCUUAAGUCAAGUGUUAUUGCCAAAGCUCAUUGCAUUCCAGUAACUACAAUGAUAUAUCUAAAGAAGUGUGUCUAAACAAUACAAAAACAAUUAAACUGUAAGGAAAAUACUUUGUUUCAUAUGCAAUCAUGCUUUUUAUUAAAUUUAAUAGUUUGCUUA